rnacentral:rRNA from 1 species
GAACGCUAGCUACAGGCUUAACACAUGCAAGUCGAGGGGCAGCAUGGUCUUAGCUUGCUAAGGCCGAUGGCGACCGGCGCACGGGUGAGUAACACGUAUCCAACCUGCCGUCUACUCUUGGACAGCCUUCUGAAAGGAAGAUUAAUACAAGAUGGCAUCAUGAGUCCACAUGUUCACAUGAUUAAAGGUAUUCCGGUAGACGAUGGGGAUGCGUUCCAUUAGAUAGUAGGCGGGGUAACGGCCCACCUAGUCUUCGAUGGAUAGGGGUUCUGAGAGGAAGGUCCCCCACAUUGGAACUGAGACACGGUCCAAACUCCUACGGGAGGCAGCAGUGAGGAAUAUUGGUCAAUGGGCGAGAGCCUGAACCAGCCAAGUAGCGUGAAGGAUGACUGCCCUAUGGGUUGUAAACUUCUUUUAUAAAGGAAUAAAGUCGGGUAUGCAUACCCGUUUGCAUGUACUUUAUGAAUAAGGAUCGGCUAACUCCCUGCCAGCAGCCGCGGUAAUACGGAGGAUCCGAGCGUUAUCCGGAUUUAUUGGGUUUAAAGGGAGCGUAGAUGGAUGUUUAAGUCAGUUGUGAAAGUUUGCGGCUCAACCGUAAAAUUGCAGUUGAUACUGGAUAUCUUGAGUGCAGUUGAGGCAGGCGGAAUUCGUGGUGUAGCGGUGAAAUGCUUAGAUAUCACGAAGAACUCCGAUUGCGAAGGCAGCCUGCUAAGCUGCAACUGACAUUGAGGCUCGAAAGUGUGGGUAUCAAACAGGAUUAGAUACCCUGGUAGUCCACACGGUAAACGAUGAAUACUCGCUGUUUGCGAUAUACGGCAAGCGGCCAAGCGAAAGCGUUAAGUAUUCCACCUGGGGAGUACGCCGGCAACGGUGAAACUCAAAGGAAUUGACGGGGGCCCGCACAAGCGGAGGAACAUGUGGUUUAAUUCGAUGAUACGCGAGGAACCUUACCCGGGCUUAAAUUGCAGAUGAAUUACGGUGAAAGCCGUAAGCCGCAAGGCAUCUGUGAAGGUGCUGCAUGGUUGUCGUCAGCUCGUGCCGUGAGGUGUCGGCUUAAGUGCCAUAACGAGCGCAACCCUUGUUGUCAGUUACUAACAGGUUCCGCUGAGGACUCUGACAAGACUGCCAUCGUAAGAUGUGAGGAAGGUGGGGAUGACGUCAAAUCAGCACGGCCCUUACGUCCGGGGCUACACACGUGUUACAAUGGGGGGUACAGAGGGCCGCUACCACGCGAGUGGAUGCCAAUCCCCAAAACCUCUCUCAGUUCGGACUGGAGUCUGCAACCCGACUCCACGAAGCUGGAUUCGCUAGUAAUCGCGCAUCAGCCACGGCGCGGUGAAUACGUUCCCGGGCCUUGUACACACCGCCCGUCAAGCCAUGGGAGCCGGGGGUACCUGAAGUGCGUAACCGCGAGGAGCGCCCUAGGGUAAAACUGGUGAC